UACGUAGGGUCCGAGCGUUGUCCGGAAUUACUGGGCGUAAAGAGCUCGUAGGUGGUUUGUCGCGUUGUUCGUGAAAACUCACAGCUCAACUGUGGGCGUGCGGGCGAUACGGGCAGACUUGAGUACUGCAGGGGGAGACUGGAAUUCCUGGUGUAGCGGUGGAAUGCGCAGAUAUCAGGAGGAACACCGGUGGCGAAGGCGGGUCUCUGGGCAGUAACUGACGCUGAGGAGCGAAAGCGUGGGGAGCGAACAGG
rnacentral:rRNA from 1 species